rnacentral:rRNA from 1 species
UACAGAGGUCUCAAGCGUUUGUUCGGAUUCAUUGGGCGUAAAGGGCGCGUAGGCUGCGGGGCAAGUCGGGUGUGAAAUCUCGGAGCUUAACUCCGAAACUGCAUUCGAUACUGCCGUGCUUGAGGACUGGAGAGGAGACUGGAAUUUACGGUGUAGCGGUGAAAUGCGUAGAUAUCGUAAGGAAGACCAGUGGCGAAGGCGGGUCUCUGGACAGUUCCUGACGCUGAGGCACGAAGGUCAGGGGAGCAAACGGG